GUCCACUGACAAACCCCUUGUUGGGCUGUCGUGUGUGGGCCACUGAGCCACAGUGGUGGAGAUGAAGGCCUGAGGAG